rnacentral:rRNA from 1 species
CUUGGUGUGGUUGUUGCUGGCCCUCUCGGGGGCAUGUGCACACCCACCAUCCUCAUCUCUCCACCUGUGCACCUCUUGUAGACCUGGAUUGACUUUCCGAGGCAACUCGGUCGGGAAGAUUGCUGCGCUCUGUGAGCCAGCUUUCUUUGCAUGUCCAGGCCUAUGUUUUUCAUAUACCCCUAUAGAAUGUAACAGAAUGUAUCAUUGGGCCUUGUGCCUAUAAACCUUAUACAACUUUCAGCAACGGAUCUCUUGGCUCUCGCAUCGAUGAAGAACGCAGCGAAAUGCGAUAAGUAAUGUGAAUUGCAGAAUUCAGUGAAUCAUCGAAUCUUUGAACGCACCUUGCGCUCCUUGGUAUUCCGAGGAGCAUGCCUGUUUGAGUGUCAUUAAAUUCUCAACCUUAUUAACUUUUGUUGAUAAUGGAUUGGAUUGUGGGGGUUUCUUUUGCUGGCUUCUUCACAGAGAUCAGCUCCCCUUAAAUGCAUUAGCUGGUGCCCCGCGUGGACCAUCUAUUGGUGUGAUAAUUAUCUACGCCGUGGAUGUCUGCAAUCAUAUGGGUUUCGCACUGCUUCUAACCGUCUGUUCAUUCGGACAAUACAUGACAAUUUGACCUCAAAUCAGGUAGGACUACCCGCUGAACUUAAGCAUAUCAAUA